CUGACUGCUAUCGGAUUGAUACUAAGCCAUGCGAGUCAUUGUAGCAAUACAAGGCAGACGGCUCAGUAACGCGUAGUCAACCUAACCUAUGGACGGGAAUAACCUCGGGAAACUGAGAAUAAUGCCCGAUAGAACACUAUGCCUGGAAUGGUUUGUGUUCCAAAUGAUUUAUCGCCGUAGGAUGGGACUGCGGCCUAUCAGUUUGUUGGUGAGGUAAUGGCCCACCAAGACUAUUACAGGUACGGGCUCUGAGAGGAGUAGCCCGGAGAUGGGUACUGAGACACGGACCCAGGCCCUAUGGGGCGCAGCAGGCGAGAAAACUUUGCAAUGUGCGAAAGCACGACAAGGUUAAUCCGAGUGGUUUCUGCUAAAGGAACCUUUUGUCGGUCCUAGAAACACCGAUGAAUAAGGGGUGGGCAAGUUCUGGUGUCAGCCGCCGCGGUAAAACCAGCACCUCAAGUGGUCAGGAUGAUUAUUGGGCCUAAAGCAUCCGUAGCCUGCUUUGUUAGUUUUCGGUUAAAUCUAUGCGCUCAACGUAUAGGCUGCCGGGAAUACUGCAAAGCUAGGGAGUGGGAGAGGUAGACGGUACUCGGUAGGAAGGGGUAAAAUCCUUUGAUCUAUUGAUGACCACCUGUGGCGAAGGCGGUCUACCAGAACACGUCCGACGGUGAGGGAUGAAAGCUGGGGGAGCAAACCGGAUUAGAUACCCGGGUAGUCCCAGCCGUAAACCAUGCAAACUCAGUGAUGCAUUGGCUUGUGGCCAAUGCAGUGCUGCAGGGAAGCCGUUAAGUUUGCCGCCUGGGAAGUACGUACGCAAGUAUGAAACUUAAAGGAAUUGGCGGGGGAGCACCACAAGGGGUGAAGCCUGCGGUUCAA
rnacentral:rRNA from 1 species